rnacentral:rRNA from 1 species
GAUGAACGCUGGCGGCGUGCCUAAUACAUGCAAGUCGAGCUAACAGACGAGGAGCUUGCUCCUCUGACGUUAGCGGCGGACGGGUGAGUAACACGUGGAUAACCUACCUAUAAGACUGGGAUAACUUCGGGAAACCGGAGCUAAUACCGGAUAACAUGUUGAACCGCAUGGUUCAACAGUGAAAGACGGUCUUGCUGUCACUUAUAGAUGGAUCCGCGCCGCAUUAGCUAGUUGGUAAGGUAACGGCUUACCAAGGCAACGAUGCGUAGCCGACCUGAGAGGGUGAUCGGCCACACUGGAACUGAGACACGGUCCAGACUCCUACGGGAGGCAGCAGUAGGGAAUCUUCCGCAAUGGGCGAAAGCCUGACGGAGCAACGCCGCGUGAGUGAAGAAGGUCUUCGGAUCGUAAAACUCUGUUAUUAGGGAAGAACAAAUGUGUAAGUAACUAUGCACGUCUUGACGGUACCUAAUCAGAAAGCCACGGCUAACUACGUG